UACAGCCAUAUCAGGUUGAAACACCAGUUCUUUACGUUCACCAAAGUUAAGCCAUGUUGAGCUUGGUCAAUACCUAGAUGGGUGACCAUUUGGGAAUGCCAAAUGCUGUAAG